rnacentral:misc_RNA from 1 species
UACUGGGUGUACCGAUUUUAAUAAUUUUUAAUUUAAUCGAAAGCUGAUGUUUGUCAUGUGGUCACAUAUAAAUUUUAUUGAGAUCUGAUAACUAAUUUUUGAGUAAUCUUUGAUAACGCAUAGUUACUUGACUAUUUUUUCGUCGAUCUACGUUGUAUUACUUGUCGAUGUAAUUGAAGUCGGUUUUUUUUCGUUUGCGAGCAAACACAAUUAUUUCGUCAACUUAGGUUGUAUUACUUGUCUAUGUAAUUAGUCUUUUUUUUUUCUUUUGCGAGGAAACAAUUAUGAUAUUAAAUUACUGUAAGGAACUGUUUGCUCACGUACAAUAAAUAGGAGUUAACUAGGAAAUUACUAAACUCCACGAAUUAUGUUUUGACACUGAUUUGUUGUGUUUAAGGUGAAUAAAAUACAUAUAAAAUUGGUGUGUAAGCAAAAGUUGCCUAACGAACACAUAAAAAUAUGAAAUAGUAUAAGGCAAUAAAUGCACGAGUAAAUCCUCUGUACAAUUAUGAUUAGAGGUGUUAAUCUUAUCAGCACACAACAUUGUACGAAUAAAAUAUAAAAAGAUCAACAAUACUUUUAUAAACUGCGGUUGAAAAACUUUUAUAUAUACAAUGACAAACAGUAUUUAAGGGAUAACUCAUUUUCAGAAAUAAAAAACAAUAAUUUCCGUAUUUCAUAAGUUUAAUAAAAAUUUAAUGUUACAGUAUAAACAGUAAGGUCGUAAAUGGCAGUGAUGUUAUUAUUACUUAUAAGUUACAAUAUUCACUAUACAAGACCAACACUUUCCCAUGUCAUCUACGGCGUGUCGCUCUUGACACUGGCAAAUAAUACCUCCAACAUUGAAAUUGCAUUAACAUAUCUAUAAAACUUCGAGAGAAAUAACGAACGGACCAGUGUCAAAAACGGGUCGCCCUACGACAUCCGCCUGCCGAUUGCCUAACCAUUGUCUAAUUUUACAUCGAGCCAAACAAUAAUUAUAUCUAACAUUCGUUAAUCCAAUCAAAAAGAAAAUAAUUGAUUUUUUUAGUCAAGUUUAUAUUUAUUUGCAUAAAAAAUAAAAUAUUUUUACAAUCAGAUCCCUCCUAUUCGCGACAGACUAAGUGCAGUUACAGUUAGUCGUCGCGAAAUGAGAGUUCGUUUACUUUCAUUUAGAAGUUUGUCUACUCGAGUAUAACAUUCUUUGGGACAUAGCAGCACUGUUCACCGGACCCUCCUAAAACGCAGAGCCACACUCCGUGCCUUACACUUACAGACUACUAUUCGCUAUGAACAUUAUACUAGGAAUCGAAAAACUAAAAUCGAAGUGCGAAAAAAAUAAAUAAAAUUUUCUUCUAUACAAAAAUAACACAUUUAUUGUGGUGAACACCUGAGCACUUGAGACCAAACGAAACGACCUUCCGACGCUCUACCGACUCGAUACAUUUCCUUAACUAAACAUCUAAAUCUAUCGACUAAGUGUACAGGAGGCGGUCGCCAAUACGCUAUCAAUACGCUACCUUCGGCUAAUCGUCGCCGAAAAAUUGACUUCGCUUUAUCAUUAUCUCUCACAAUUACAAAAGUGAUCGAGGAGAUUGUAAACUGUAAAUUUAACGAUUUAAAAAAUUACGUUUUAUCACGAGAAUAUUCGUAUCGAACUACAAUUUAUACUCACACACCGUGUAUUAAAAAUAGAACGUCAUCUUUAUGAUAACUUACAUUUUUAUACAGUUGGUCGAAAACGUCAAUUUCUCAUAAAAAAUACAGAAAACUAGCUAGCGACUAUCGACAAGGAAGUGCGAGUCGAAAAACGAUAACUUUCGACGUCAGAUACUACAUUCAUGAAUGACAUUAACGUUAGAAACUAGAAAAUCCCGAUAAACAAAAGAAGCGUCACAUAGAUACAAACGAGGAGGAGGCCGCUCUACUCUGGCGGCAACUAGACGGGCGGGCCGGCGGCUCAGUCCGGCGUGGACGUGUGCGGCGGCGCGGGGCGGUGCAGCGUGAAGGCGUCGUACACCUGCGCCAGCUCCUCCACGUGGUGCUCCUCCAGGCACAGGAAGCCGGCCAGCGUGGGGCUGGCGCGGCGCGCGCACGCCAGGUUCCACGUCAGGUGCACCAUGGGCACGAUCGACUUGAAGUUCUGCACCUUGUUCCACUCGUAGCGCUCGAGCGCGAGCGAAUACUGGCGCGCCGUCAGCGGCCCGACGUUCCAGGCGAUGUUGUUGCACCAGCCGGUCGCCUGCACCCAGUGCACGCAGCCCGCGUUCACCCACACGAG